GCCUGCAGCACAGGGGAGUGAUGCUGGAGAGAAGCCGGGACAGAGGCUGGGACCGAAGCUGGAGCUACGGGGGAGCCAAAAGGUUGGAAAUGUAGGAGUACGGGGCAUGGAUUCUCUUUUCAGGGCUUUUAAAGUGUCUUAAAUUGCACUGAAAGACAAGCCAAGGAUAAAACAAAUUCAAGAGUGAUUCUCCUUCUCGCUUCCUCAGAAAACAAAUCUCAAACUUAAUGUGUGUGCAUACACGUGCCAAUUCAUAGAUGUCAUAGACAUUAGAGCUGGAAGAGACCUUGGAAGAUCAUCGAGUCCAGCCCCCUGCCCCAUGGGGCAGGAAGUCAGCUUGGAUCAAAGGAUCCCAGCAAGAUAAGCAUCCAAAUGUUCAUGAACAAGUUACAUUCAUGCCUGUUACAGUCAUUAAAUAUGCAAAUAUUAACAUAUAAAGAGUGCCACCUAGUGGGACAGGAAAAUAUGCAGCACUUUUAUACAUUUGUAUAAAUGAAUAAAGUUAUUGUUGUUCAUAGCAAAUUGAUUCUUGAUUACAUAGCUCUUAAUACAAGCCCAAUGAGAGGAUAAGAGCAA